AAAAAGUACCCUUCUGCCUAAUAUUCCCCUCUUAUAAUUAGUCAAAUACAUUGGAUUGUGAAACAUUUUGACCAUAAAAACACUAACAAAGCUAUUUACUGCUUCUAAGGAAUUUUUUGUUAGUUUUAGCCUCUUUUGGGAGAAAAUGAGUAUAAGUGUUGUCUAAACACUCUCAAUACAUCUCUAACACAGGCGUAAGAAUUGUAUCCUUGUUAGAAUACAGAAAGCCAAAGAAUCAUAUGGAUUUUGGCUACACCAUGAAAGCUUUGAGAAGCAAGAAGAAGAUUGGUUAGUGUUUUGGAGUCAAAUAUGACUUGAUGUCAUGUGUAUGAUUGAGUAUAAGAACAUAAACCACAACCGGAUCUUAAAGGCGUAAGAAUUGUAUCCUUGUUAGAAGACACAAAGCCAAAGACUCAUAUGGACUUUGGCUACACCAUGAAAGCUUGGAGAAGCAAGAAGAAGGUUGGUUAGUGUUUUGGAGUCGAAUAUGACUUAAUGUCAUGUGUAUGAUUGAGUAUAAGAAUAUAAACCGCAACCGGAUCUUAAAGGUGUAAGAAUUGUAUCCUUGUUAGAAGACACAAAGCCAAAGACUCAUAUGGACUUUGGCUACACCAUGAAAGCUUUGAGAAGCAAGAAGAAGGUUGGUUAGUGUUUUGGAGUCGAAUAUGACUUGAUGUCAUGUAUAUGAUUGAGUAUAAGAACAUUAACCGCAACCGGAUCUUAAAGGCGUAAGAAUUGUAUCCUUGUUAGAAGACACAAAGCCAAAGACUCAUAUGGACUUUGGAUACACCAUGAAAGCUUUGAGAAGAAAUAAAAAGGUUGGUUACUGUGAGUCGAAUAUGACUUGAUGUCAUGUGUAUGAUUGAGUAUAAGAACUUAAACCGCAACCGGAUCUUAAAGGCGUAAGAAUUGUAUCCUUGUUAGAAGACACAAAGCCAAAGACUCAUAUGGACUUUGGCUACACCAUGAAAGCUUUGAGAAGCAAGAGGAAGGGUGGUUAUUGUUUUGGAGUCGAAUAUGACUUGAUGUCAUGUGUAUGAUUGAGUAUAAGAACUUAUACCGCAACCGGAUCUUAAAGGCGUAAGAAUUGUAUCCUUGUUAGAAGACACAAAGCCAAAGACUCAUAUGGACUUUGGCUACACCAUGAAAGCUUUGAGAAGCAAGAAGAAGGUUGGUUAGUGUCUUGGAGUCGAAUAUGACUUGAUGUCAUGUGUAUGAUUUAGUAUAAGAACUUAAACCGCAACCAGAUCUUAAAGGCGUGAAAAUUGUAUCCUUGUUAGAAGACACAAAGCCAAAGACUCAUAUGUACUUUGGCUACACCAUGAGAGCUUUGAGAAGUAAGAAAAAGUUUGAUUAGUGUUAGUCGAAUAUGACUUGAUGUCAUGUGUAUGAUUGAGUAUAAGAACUUAAACCGCAACCGGAUCUUAAAGGUGUAAGAAUUGUAUCCUUGUUAGAAGACACAAAGCAAAAGACUCAUAUGGACUUUUGCUACAUCAUGAAAGCUUUGAGAAGCAAGAAGAAGGUUGGUUAGUGUUUUGGAGUCGAAUAUGACUUGAUGUCAUGUGUAUGAUUUAGUAUAAGAACUUAAACCGCAACCGGAUCUUAAAGGCGUAAAAAUUGUAUCCUUGUUAGAAGACACAAAGCCAAAGACUCAGAUGGACUUUGGCUACACCAUGAAAGCUUUGAAAAGCAAGAGGAAGGUUGGUUUGUGUUUUGGAGUCGAAUAUGACUUGAUGUCAUGUGUAUGAUUGAGUAUAAGAACUUAAACCGCAACCGGAUCUUAAAGACGUAAUAAUUCUAUCCUUGUUAGAAGACAGAAAGCCAAAGACUCAUAUGUACUUUGUCUACACCAUGAAAGCUUUGAGAAGCAAGAGGAAGGUUGGUUAGUGUUUUGGAGUCGAAUAUGACUUGACCUCAUGUGAAUGAUUGAGUAUCAGAACUUAAACCGCAACCCGAUGUUAUAAGCCUAAGUAGUGUUUCCUUGUUAGAAGACACAAAGCCAAAGACUCAUAUGGACUUUGGCUACACCAUGAAAGCUUUGAGAAGCAAGAAGAAGGUUUGUUAGUGUUUUGGAGUCGAAUAUGACUUGAUGUCAUGUAUAUGAUUGAGUAUAAGAACAUUAACCGCAACCGAAUCUUAAAGGCGUAAGAAUUGUAUCCUUGUUAGAAGACACAAAGCCAAAGACUCAUAUGGACUUUGGCUACACCAUGAAAGCUUUGAGAAGCAAUAAAAAGGUUGGUUAGUGUUAGUCGAGUAUGACUUGAUGUCAUGUGUAUGAUUGAGUAUAAGAACUUAAACCGCAACCGGAUCUUAAAGCUGUAAGAAUUGUAUCCAUGUUAGAAGACACAAAGCCAAAGACUCAUAUGGACUUUGGCUACACCAUGAAAGCUUUGAGAAGCAACAAGAAGGUUGGUUAGUGUUUUGGAGUCGAAUAUGACUUGAUGUCAUGUAUAUGAUUGAGUAUAAGAACAUUAACCGCAACCGGAUCUUAAAGGCGUAAGAAUUGUAUCCUUGUUAGAAGACACAAAGCCAAAGACUCAUAUGGACUUUGGAUACACCAUGAAAGCUUUGAGAAGAAAUAAAAAGGUUGGUUACUGUUAGUCGAAUAUGACUUGAUGUCAUGUGUAUGAUUGAGUAUAAGAACUUAAACCGCAACCGGAUCUUAAAGGCGUAAGAAUUGUAUCCUUGUUAGAAGACACAAAGCCAAAGACUCAUAUGGACUUUGGCUACACCAUGAAAGCUUUUAGAAGCUAGAAGAAGGUUGGUUAGUUUUUUGGAGUCGAAUAUGACUUGAUGUCAUGUGUAUGAUUGAGUAUAAGAACUUAAACCGCAACCGGAUCUUAAAGGUGUAAGAAUUGUAUCCAUGUUAGAAGACAGAAAGCCAAAGACUCAUAUGGACUUUGU
rnacentral:sRNA from 1 species